rnacentral:rRNA from 1 species
UACGUAGGGGGCAAGCGUUGUCCGGAUUUACUGGGUGUAAAGGGUGCUCAGGUGGCUUGGAAAGUCAGUGGUGAAAUCUGAGAGCUUAACUCUCAAACUGCCAUUGAUACUUCUUAGCUUGAGUACGGAAGAGGCUGAUGGAAUUUCAGGUGUAGCAGUGAAAUGCGUAGAUAUCUGAAAGAACACCAGUGGCGAAGGCGGUCAGCUGGUCCGUUACUGACGCUGAGGAGCGAAAGCGUGGGGAGCGAACAGG